UUGGAGUUUGGGGGUUUGGGGUUUGGGGAAGGAGAUGCCAGAAUUUCUCCUUCCCUCCCUCCGGCCGAUCCCGGUUUUCCAGCCGGGAAUUCCAGCGGGAAAAGCUCUCCCACCCGGGAAUUUGGGAUUCCGAUUUAUUGUGGGUGGAAUUCCCGGUGGGAAAAUCGGGAACGUGGGGAGAGGGAGCCCACAGAGGAGUCGGCACACAAGGGGUUAAUCCCAGCUUCUGUUUUUCCAGGAUUUUUGGGUUUUUUUGAGGAAUUUCCCAAACGGAUGAGGGAGCAGCCAGGUGUCCCAAAAAAUCGAAUUUUGGGGCGCUUAGCGCUUUUUGGGUGCCCCAAAUCCCUCCAGGAUUCCAUUUUUCAGCCUCUCAUCCCCAAAAAUCCCUGGAAAAACAGAACGGAGGGUCCUGGCCCGGGUUAAUGAACAGCAAUUAAGGGUUAAUGAAGGGCUGGAAGGGCGAUGAAACCUCUGGAAUUCGGCUGGAAUUCCUGGGGCACAAAGGGAAGAGCUCUGAGCAAAGCCCAGCCCGGGAUGCAGAGAAUUCCUGGAAGGAAAAUUGAAAUUAUUCCAAAUCUGUCCAGGGAUCCCAAGGCCCAUUUCCUUGGAUCAUCCUGGCGGGCGAUCCUAUCAUGUGGAAAUGAAGGAAUCUUCAGGAAUUUUGAGAAAUUUUCAGGGAUUUUAAAGGUCUUCCAGGAAUUUUCAGGAUUUUUUCAGUAAUUUUAAGGGAUUUUAAGGAAUCUUCAGGAAUUUUAAAGGAAUUUAAAGCAUUUUAAGGCAUCUCAAGGAUUUUUCAGGGUUUUUUCCCCGCGUUGAUCCAAAAUCCAGUGUUUUCUGGGAUGUGGCUGUGGGGAAGGCCUCGAUCCACUGGGAUCCAAAGGGACCCAUCCCAAACCCAUGGAACAGAGAAAUAAAUCCAGGGUCUGGGAACCCCAAAUCCAGCUAUGGGGGAACCCAAAUUUAGGGUUUUUGACCCCAAACGCAGAGGAAGGGGGGGGAUGCCCCAAACCCCACAGAACUGGAGGAGGUCCCUCAAAACCCCCUUUGGGACCCCUCCAGGCCCCGGGGCUGCUCCCCGAGGAUCCAGGCGGGGAAAAAGGGAGGGUUUUUGGGGAUUUUUGGGUUUUUUUCCCUCAUGGGGUGCCCAAAUCCCCUCACGGAGCCCCAAAUCCCCUCAGGGCACAGCGAUGACGUCAUGGGGAAACCACGCCCACAUCAGUAUGGCGGGACGGCAAAUCUCGCGAGAGCUCGCGGUGCUUCGAGGUUACAAAUAGUCCCGCCUGAGGGACGCGGCCCUCAGAGCCCGCCCAGCCGGGGGCGGGCACAGGAGGGAGGGGGGGUGUUGCGCUGUGGGCGCCGCUAGGCCCCGUCAUGGCGGAGUUGUGAGGGGAGCGGGCACAAAUCCCGGGAAUUCGCCUCGGGAAUUCCUCCUUGGAAUGGCUCCCCAGCCUUGGAAUGGCAGCGCUGUCCCCCUGUCCCGCCCUCCCACUGUUCCCUGGCUGAGGGCCUGGAAGAGCCAUGAGGGGAAACUGAGGCACGAUGGGUCCCGUGUUUCCAACAUUUUUAUAUUUUUCCACAUAAAAUCCGGGACAAUCCCUCCCGAGUCCUUCUUUUCUUCUUCCAGCUGCUCCCGGUUUAAAGAGAAUUUCAAUAAAAUUAAUUUAUUUGA